rnacentral:rRNA from 1 species
UACGAAGGGGGCUAGCGUUGCCCGGAAUCACUGGGCGUAAAGGGUGCGUAGGCGGGUCUUUAAGUCAGGGGUGAAAUCCUGGAGCUCAACUCCAGAACUGCCUUUGAUACUGAGGAUCUUGAGUUCGGGAGAGGGAAGCGGAAUUCCGGGUGUAGCGGUGAAAUGCGUAGAUAUCCGGAGGAACACCGGUGGCGAAGGCGGCUUCCUGGACCGACACUGACGCUGAGGCGCGAAAGCUAGGGGAGCAAACGGG